rnacentral:lncRNA from 1 species
AAUGGUGAAAACGAGGGAUAUUAGCUCUAGGAGAUUGGCAUGAAGAUUGAAGAAGGAAGCCGGCGAUUACCUAAGCAUGUUUUUGAAGUUAUUGUCUAUUUAGUAAUUCCGAUCCCUUUUAAAUUCUUUGAACUUGUUUUCAACUUAAUUAUUAAAAAGUGUGCAAAUUUUGAGUUAAGAUAAAUGAUUCAUUCAUUAAUUAUUGAGAUUUAAAUCUAUCAUAGUAAUUAUUUGGAUUUGGUUUAGGAUUUAGGAUUGCGUUAGGAUUUGAUUUAGGAUUAGAAUUUGGUUAGGAGUUGAUUUAGAAUUUAAGAUUUGAUUAGGAUUUAAUUUAAGAUUUAGGAUUUUAUUAGGAUUUGAUUAGGAUUUGAUUUAGGAUUAAUAUUUGAUUAGAGUUUGAUUUAGGAUUUAGGAUUUAAUUUAGGAUUUGAUUCAUUGUCUAGGAUUUGAUUAGGGUUUAGUUUAAAAUUGAGGAUUUGGUUAGGAUUUUAUUUAGGGUUUAGAAUUUGAUUUAGGAUUUAAGGUUUGAUUUAGGAUUAAAGAUUUGAUUAGGAUUUGGUUCAGGAUUUAGGAUUUGAUAAAGGUUUGAUUUAGGGUUAGGAUUUGGUUAAGAUUUGAUAUAUGGUUUAGAAUUUGGUUAGGAUUUGGUUUAGGAUUUAGGUUUGAUUGAGGGUUAAGAUUUGAUUCAGGAUUAGGAUUUGGUUAAGAAUUAAUUUAGAAUUUAGAAUUUGGUUAAAAUUUGAUUUAGGAUUUAGGAUUUUAUUAAGAUUUUUUUAAGAUUUAAGAUUUUUUUACUUUUAGGCCUAAAGUUUGAAUGAAGUCUAAUAGGAUUUUAAAUACAAUUAAAUUAAGAUUGAAUUGAGAUGUAUUUGAAAAAUAUUUUUGAUCAUUCUAAUAUUUCUUUAAGAUUUUUUAUUGUUUCUUUGUAAUUUCUUUGAGAUUUUUUUGAAUUUGAUUUAAGCUUGCUUAGUAUUUUUAUUAUUUAAUUAGAGUUUAG